rnacentral:rRNA from 1 species
GACAGAGGGUGCAAACGUUGUUCGGAAUUACUGGGCAUAAAGAGCACGUAGGUGGUGCGCUAAGUCACGUGUGAAAUCCCCCGGCUCAACCGGGGGAAUUGCGCGUGAUACUGGCGGACUCGAGGCGGGUAGGGGUGAGCGGAAUUCCCGGUGUAGCGGUGAAAUGCGCAGAUAUCGGGAGGAACACCGGUGGCGAAGGCGGUUCUCUGGGCCUGUACUGACGCUGAGGAGCGAAAGCGUGGGGAGCGAACAGG